GAUGAACGCUAGCGGCAGGCCUAACACAUGCAAGUCGAGGGGCAUCAUGGCGUAGCAAUACGCUGAUGGCGACCGGCGCGACGGGUGCGUAACGCGUAUGGAACCUACCCACCGCGAGGGGGACUAACCCGACCGAAAGGCGGACUAACUACCCCAUCGGUUCCCCGACCCUGCCGUGGGGUUGGGGGUAAAGCCUACGGGCGGCGGUGGAUGGCCCUGCGUGCCAUUAGCUGGCUGGUGGGGUAACGGCCCACCAGGGCGACGAUGGCUAGGGGGUCUGAGAGGACGAUCCCCCACACUGGUACUGAGACACGGACCAGACUCCUACGGGAGGCAGCAGUGAGGAAUAUUGGACAAUGGGCGCAAGCCUGAUCCAGCAAUGCCGCGUGUGUGAAGAAGGUCUUCGGAUCGUAAAGCACUUUCGACAGGGACGAUGAUGACGGUACCUGUAGAAGAAGCCCCGGCUAACUUCGUG
rnacentral:rRNA from 1 species